GCGGCAUAGCCAAGUGGUAAGGCAGAGGACUGCAAAUCCUUCACCGACGGUUCAAAUCCGUCUGCCGC
rnacentral:tRNA from 1 species